CCCUUAGAUGUUCUGGGCCGCACACGCGCUACACUGAAGGAGGCAGCGUGUACUCCUGGAUCGAAAGAUUUGGGUAACCCGCGAAUCUCCUUCGUGCUAGGGAUUGAGGUUUGCAAUUAUCCUUCAUGAACGAGGAAUUCCCAGUAAGUGCAAGUCAUAAGCUUGCACUGACUACGUCCCUGCCCUUUGUACACACCGCCCGUCGCUACUACCGAUUGAAUGAUUUAGUGAGGACUUCGGACUGGGACCGAUGCGGCUUUCGGGCUGCGUCGGUAUUCUGGAAAGAUGUCCAAACUGUAUCAUUUAGAGGAAGUAAAAGUCGUAACA
rnacentral:rRNA from 1 species